CCGAGCCGUUGCGUUGUUUUGGGCCCCAGCUGGAGGUUGCGUCAUGAAGGCGCGACGGGAAAGGGCGAAAGGAAGCAACCGCGGCGCACCCACUGCGCAGGCCCUAGCUUUCCCAGGCGCCGCGGACUUCAACUCCCAGAAUCCCUCACCGUUCGACAGGGCAGCUGAGGCUUCUGGGAGUUGAAGUCCAAAACGCCUGGAACCGCUAGGCCCCCGGCGUUUGUGAUUUGGGGGGUUUUUCUUUUUGGACUUCGGCUUUUUUUUUCCGUGUCAGGAGCAACCGGAGUUGCUUCUGGAGUGAGAGAAUUUGCCGUCUGCAAGGACGUUGCCCAGGGGACGCCCAAAUGUUUUUUGAUGUUUUACCAUCCUUGUGGUAGGCUUCUCUCAUGUCCCCGGAUAGAGCUGGAGCUGAUAGAGGGAGCUCAUCCGCGUUCUCCCCGGGUGGGACUUCGGCUGCUUCGGUCGUUAAGUCCGCCCUGGGCCCAUUUCUCAUCCACAUCUUAGAUCAGGCCUGGGCAAACUUUGGCCCUCCAGGUGUUUUGGACUUCAACUCCCCGGCUGUUAGGAAUUGUGGGGGGUGAAGUCCAAAACACCUGGAGGGCCAAAGUUUGCCCAGGCCUGACUUAGAUGAAGGUUAGAAGGCAUGAUCACCAAAUUGGGAGGGAUAGCAAUACCUCAGAAGACAGGAGCAGAAUCCAAAACAAUCUUAACGCAUUAGAGAAGAUGGGCCGAAACUAACAGAGUGAACUUCUGCAGGGAGAAAUGCAAGAUACUCCACUUUGGCAGAAAAAAAUGAAAUGCAAAGAUACAGAAUGUGGGACGCCUGGCUUGAAAGCAGCACAUGUGAAAAAGAUCUUAGAGUCCUCGUGGGCAACAAGUUGAAAAUGAGCCAGCAAUGUGAUGCGGCAGCUUUAAAAAAAUGGGAUUUUGGCCAGCAUAAAUAGGAGUAUAGUGUCUAGAUCAGGCAUAGGCAAACUAAGGCCCUGGGGCCGGAUGUAGUCCCCUGGGCACUUACCUCAGGCCCUCCUGAUUUUCCGUGUCCUCUUGACAUGAUACGGUGGCCUGCCAUGUCCUUAUGCCAGAAAGGUGGGGAAGGAAGCCACGCAGCAACAGCUGAGAGCCCUCUGGAGUGCUCUCAGUCUCCGUGUGUUUCGUCCUCCUCCUGGCAUAAGGACAGUGCAAGUAGCCCCAUCCUUCAGGAAGAUAGCUCAAGGAAGGCAUGUGGUGGCUGAGAGCUCUUCGGAGCAUUCUCAGCCACCACCUGUAUAACUCUCUUCCUGGCAUAAUGCCAAGAGGGCAGCCCGAAGAUCAGGGGAAGAGGAUUGGGACAGUUGUUGCAUGUCCUGCCUUCCUCCUGGCAUAAGGAUGGGGCAAGCAGCUCUGUCCUAAUGCUGGGAGACAAUCUGAGGAUGACCCAGGUCCUACCCUGUCACUCUCCCAGGCCCUACCAUAGUCCCGAGCCUAGCGUGCAAACAGCCCCCCUCCCUCCCGCCCUUUCAGACGGACCCACAAUGUGGCCCCAAGGCAAAAAAGUUUGCCCAUGCCUGAUCUAGAUCCAGGAAAGUCAUGCUACCCCUCUAUUCUGUCUUGGUCAGACCGCAUCAAAGCCUGCUUGCUUCCUGCCUGGGAGAAUCCUUUGUUGGGAAGUGUUAGCUGGCUCUGAUUGUUUCCUUUCUGGAAUUCCCAAUUUCCCUGCUUUCAGAGUGUUGCUCUUUAUUUACUGUCCUGGUUUUAGAGAUUAUAUUGUUCUGUAUUAUUAUAUCACAGUAAUUAUUUCAUAUUACAGUAGAGUCUCACUUAUCCAACAUUUGCUUAUCCAGUGUUCUGGAUUCUCCAACGCAGUUGGCAUUUUAGUAGUCAAUGUUUUUGUAGUCAUUGUUUUCAAUACAUUGUGAUGUUUUGGUGCUAAAUUCGUAAAUACAAUAAUGACUACAUAGCAUCACUGCGCACUGAACUACUUUUUCUGUCAAAUUUGUUGUAUAACAUGAUGUUUUGGUGCUUAAUUUGUAAAAUAACGUAAUUUGACAUUUAAUAGACUUUUCCUUAAUCCCUUCUUAUUAUCCAACAUAUUCGCUUAUCCAAUGUUCUGCCAGGGUGUUUAUGUUGGAUAAGUGAGACUCUACUGUAUAUUUAUAAUCUUAUAUUAUCUGCUUAGGACUGGAUUAUAUGAGGCUCCUUCUACACAGCUGUAUAAAAUGCACACUGUAGUGGAUUAUAUGGUAGUGUGGACUCAAGAUAAACCAGUUCAAAAUAGAUAAUAUAAGAUUAUAAAUGGAUAAUAUAGCUGUGUGGAAGGGCCUUGAGUCUACACUGCCAUAUAAUCUAGUUCAAAUCAGAUAAUCUGUAUUUUAUAGGCAGUGUGGAAGAGGCCUGAUUAAUGGGCACCAUUAAAUGGCAGAGUGGGUUGCUAGGAGACAAAGUGGGCGGAGCUUAGCCUUCAACUGGCAGCAAUGGGAAAAGAUUAUUCCUCUUUCUCUAAUUAGGACUUUAUUUUUCUUGUUGUUGUUGUUGUUGUUGUUUUUUUUUUGAUGUCUAAACACAGCGGGGAUGACCAUGUCCUUUGUGGCCAAGUUUUGUGGGUUUUGGGUGUUUAGUUUCGCUGUUUAUUUUAAGUUAGAAAUGGUCAGAAAAUUUAUAUAUAGAGAGAUUGGGAGUUUUUGUUUUUUUCAGCCAAUGCAUUGUGAAGAUGGCUUUAAACAGAAUGGAAGACAUUUGUUACACAACAAGUCCUCCUGAAGGUUUAGGUUUUUCAGCACUUGAAUAUUGGAAGAGUGCUCUUAUGCUGAGAGCCUUGAUGUUGUUGUGUACCUUCACAUCCUUUCCGACUUACGGAGACUCCAAGACAAUCUUCUCAUUUGUUUUUAUAAGGCUCAGAAAGUGUGACUUGCCCAAAGUUACCCAGCAGGUUUCCAUGGUUAAGUGGGAAUUGGGUACCUGGCGUCCAGAGUUGUGAUCUAAUGCUCAAGCCACUUUUUUCAUGCCAGGGGCAACUUGAGAAACUGCAAGUCGCUUCUGGUGUGAGAGAAUUGGCUGUCUGCAAGGACGUUGCCCAGGGGAUGCCUAGAUGUUUUGAUGUUUUACCAUCCUUGUGGGAGGCUUCUCUUAUGUCCCCGCAUGGAGUUGGAGCUGACAGAGGGACCUCAUCCAUGCUCUUCCAGGAUUGGAUUCGAACCGGCAACCUUCAGGUCAGCAACCUAACCUUCAAGUCAUCAGUCCUGCUCAAGCAACUGAUGCAAAGGAGAACUGGAAUAGAAAGCUGCUGCAUUUGGGGUCUUAUUCCCCUGUCAUCCAGCAGGGGGCGAUCAGGGCUUAGUUGAGGUCUGGUGCACCGUUUCAGUAGCAGGUGCUUAAGUCUUAACAGAGGUCCCUUCAAUACUGCCAUAUAAUCUAUAUAAUCAAAGCGGAAAAUGCACAUUAUCUGCUUUGAAUGUGAUUAUAUGGGUCUAUACUGGCAUAUAACCCAGUUCAAAACAGAUUAUCUGGAUUUUGUAUGGCAAUGUAGAAGGGGCCUGAGAGUACAACUGCACUGAAGAAUAAAUGCCAUUUGAGAUCAUUUUAACUGCGGUGACUCAGGUCCAUGGGACCCUGGGGGUUGUAGUUUGGUGAGGCACCAGCCCCCUUGGCAAGGAAGGCUAAAGCCCUCAUCAAAAUACACAUCCAAUUAUUCCACAGCAUUGAGCCAUUGCAGUUAAAGGCCAAACUGCAUUCAUUCUACAUUAGACAUGGGCACACUUCGGCCAAUAGGCUGUUAGGAAUUGUGGGAAUUGAAGUCCAAAACACCUAGAAAGCCCAAGUUUGCCCAUGCCUGGUGGAGAUGCACUAUGCCUGUCCUAAAACCAAUGGGACAAUAGACUCAAGAUGGGAAAAUGUACGCACAUAGUUUGUAAGAAAUCCCUCCUCCCUUCGUUCUGCCACUUUUCUGGAGUUGGAUAAUUCCUCCUUAACAAUCAGACAACUGUUAAGUGAAAUACUGAAGUUUCUUUAUCUCCAUCAUUCAAGUGUUGUAACUGGAAACUAGCUCUUACCAGCAGUGCUUUUGAUUUUGAAGAGGCAUAAAUUCAGGGAAAGGCAUGCCAAGAGGAAGGCAUGUCAAGCAAAUUCUUGUCAUGACAGCCUUCCACCAGUCUAAUGUGUGCUUUUUGCUUGUGUUUGGGGCACAUCCACCCCUUGCAGUCCUACCAUUUCCGCUGGCUCAACUCUUAUAACAAUGAAAAUGCAACAAAGGCCUCAACAAAGAUCAAAAUCCAGAAAAUGGUGCAAAAUAGCUGAAGAACUUAUAUAAUAUCUGAUGCAAAAACAUGAUUUCUCAGAAAGUUGUCAAUAACUUUUUCUUGAUAUUUUUGUCAAAUGACACAGUUAAAAAGCUAGCCAACAGUCAGAAGCAGUCCAACCACCAGGCAAUCUAGGCAUUUGCCUGUGGCACCAUCGUCCCAGGGGUGCCAUCGAGGCCACCCCCCCCGGCCUCCUUCACCUUUGGGACGGGCCUUGAUGCCGCGGCCUGGGCCUUGCCGCGGCGGCUUGGGCCUUGUUGCCAUGCGGCCCACGCGGCCUGCCCCCACCAUGCGGCCCAUGUGGUCUGGCCAUAUCUCCUGGCCCAUGUAGCCUGGCCACGUCUCCCGCAUGGCCUGGCCCUUCCCGCUGCAGCCUGGCUCUUUCUGCUGCAGGCUGGGCCUUGCUGCCAUGCGGCCCGCACGGCCUGACCUCGUCAUGCGCCCCGUACCGCGUGGCCCUGCCCCUGCGCUGUGUGGCCCCACAUCACACGGCCCCGCCCCCUGCACCACAUCCCCCCCGCACCCCGGGGCCCUGCCCCCUGUGCUACACAGCCCCGCCCCCGUGCUGUGGGGGAGGGGGCGCAAAAAUUACCUUUGCCUACUAUAUUAAAAUACCUAAGGACGACUCCGCCAACAGUUUGCCAGGAAAUAGUUAUUAGAAAAAUAGCUCAUGUUUCUCUAUUUUGCUCCUCUAUGAGCACGCAAUAAAUAUUUUUGAAAGCCUACUGUUCAUAUCCUCAUUGGCACAGCUGUAAAAGUAUUAACAGCUUAAAUGAGAAUAUAACAUCUCAUUACAUGGAUUGGCUGAAAUGCAUUGAAAUUAGCAUACAUGGGGCAUGAACAAUCUCUGGAAAGCUUACUGUAGCACAGAUUAUGUACUUUGUGCCAUUGCUGUGUACAUAGGGAAGCUCUUGUUGAGAAGAUACCAUAAAAACUAAAAUAUAUUAUAAACUAAUCAGUCAAAAUUAUCAAUUUUCUAAAAAGCAAAUAAUUGGAUUCAAGACUUUUUGAGCAACCUUCCACAGAUAUAGACAGUGCUUUUUAUGAAAUUGAUAAUUUUGACUGAAUAGUUUAUGAAAGUCUGUGUUUGGAGUCUGAGCGAAGGAAGAUAGACGCUUUUGAACUCUGGUGCUGGAGGCAAAUCCUGAUAGUGCCUUGGAGCGCAAGAAGAACCAACCAGUCCAUCCUCCAGGAAAUAAUGCCCGGCUGCUCACUGGAGGGAAGGAUAUUAGAGGCAAAGCUGAAGUAUUUAGGCCACAUCAUGAGGAGACAGGAAAGCUUGGAUGCUGGGGAAAAUAGAGGGAAAAAGGAGGAGAGGCUGACCAAGGAUGAGAUCAGAGCCGGUCCAACAAUGAGGCAAAUUAAGUGGUCGCUUUGGGCGCAAAACAUACAGGGGCGCAGUCGAGACUGCUUUUUCUGUUGAUUUGUUGUAAAACAUGAUGUUUUGGUGCUUAAUUUGUAAAAUCUUAAUGUAAUUUGAUGUUUAAUAGGCUUUUCCUUAAUCCCUCCUUAUUAUCCGACAUUUUUACUUAUCCAACGCUUUUAUUUUUCAGUGAUUGGUUUGGAGGGGGGGGCGCCAAAAUUCUGUUCGCCUACACUUGAAAAAUACCUAGGGCCAGCUCUGGGCGAGAUGGAUGGACGGUAUCCUUGAAGUGACUGCCUUGACCUUGAAGGAACUGGGGGUGAUGACGGCCGACAGGCGUGGACUAAACGACUCUAAACUACUGAGCAGCAGCAGGGUUUGGACACCUUUUGGGGUCCUGAAUUUUAAAAACCCACUCCUUUGUCCUGCAUUUUGGCACUGUCUGGAAGUGCACUCAGAUACUGAAGCUGAUUGUGAGCUCUGUUCAAAUUCCGAUUUUGAGGAAUGUGUCCUGGGUGCUCUUUUUCCGUUCUUUGUUAUCAGUGGGCAUGAUUUUCCUUCUCUCCUGCCUAUCCUUUGCUGUUCCCGAGUUGGUUGUCUCCCAGCCCCCCCCCCCUACUUUUCUGUUUUUAAAUUUUUUCCUGUAUGACCGUAUCACACACACAAGGGGCAGGACAGGAUAGUGAGAACCUGCUUAUCUCCAUGAUCACCUCCUCCCCUACCAACCCACACAGGCCUUAAGAUCUUCCGGGGAGGCACUUCUCUUGCUUCCACCUCUGUCUCAAGCACGGCUGGUGGGGAUGAGGGAGAGGGCCUUCUCGGUGGUGGCCCCUCGGCUCUGGAACUCUCUCUCCCCAGGGAGAUCAGACUGGCACCUUCAUUGUCCACCUUCCGCAAGGACCUAAAAACGUGGGUGUUCCGGUGCACUUUUGAGUGAAUAGUCCUGCCAGGUACUCAGUUUGUUUACAAUUUCUUACUGCACUUUAUCACUGUUCCUCACCUUUAUAGGUUUUUAGUGUUUUUAAUGAGACCAUUCCUCCGCCCUUAUCCAUGAGCCCUACUCAGAGUUCUGCACGAGUUCACCCUCUGCACAUGCAGUACUUUAUGUCCAGGUUUUAAAGCAUUUGAUGUGUUUUAUGUCAUUUUAUAUUUAUACUCUUACAUUAUUUUAAUUCAUGAAUUGUGUUUUUAACUUAUGUUUGUUGCUGGGCUCGUCCCCAUGUGAGCCUCCCCGAGUCCCUUCGGGGAGAUGGAAGCAGGGUAUAAAAACAAAGUUGUUGUUGUUGUUGUUGUUGUUGUGGCGAUGAGUAGAGAAUGCAGAAGAAGAUCAGCAAACCAACACCAUAGCACUACUGCAGAGACAUGAGAUAACCAACGUACAGUACAUAUCCCAGGAUGUUUCCAUUCUCUUGAUUAACAACAGGUUGGUAUGAUAAAUUCUUUAAACAGGAGAGUUACUCAUGGUGCUUAGCAGCGUUAAUUAUUAUUAUGUACGCUGGAACUCAAUCGACAGACCCAGUCCUUUAAAAUUGAACAUGCUCAUCUGUAUUUUAGAAUGUGUUUUAUGAAUGUUUGAUGUAAGUUAAUAAUUUUUAACUGUUUUAUAGUGCAUUGUACAAUUUUUAUAUAUGUGUUUUAUUGUAAGCCGCCCUGAGUCCCCUGUUGGGUGAGAAGGGCGGGAUAUAAAUAUUGUAAUAAUUAAUUAAUUAAUAAAUAUUUACUGCAGUUCCGUACCAGGGAAAGAGCAGAGAGGACUAACAAGAAGGAGAAGGGGUAGAGAAACAUUCCCAGGAGUAUCAGUUUAUAUCACAGAGGUGUCAUGGUAGGAAGACAAGGAAGAAGGACACUUUGGAGUCGUGUCGGGCGAAGCACAGAAGAAGAGGUCGGCGACAGGGGGGGCGCCAUGUCAAGGAGCCAAUUCCCAGAGCUGAGUCUGCAAGCUCUGGAAUCGGAGCCAUAACAACAAGCACUCCCCGAUAGCUCAUGCAGACACCUGGCACCGGAGCAUGGGAACUUUUGGAGUGAGAAUCAAAACAGCUUUAAUGAAUAGUUGGUGUUGUAGUGGUAGUAAUGUGAUAUGUGGGGUGGGGUUUGGUGAUGAUAUUUACGUGUGGUGUGACGUUGUAGCAAAGGUGAUAAAAAUGAUUGUGUGUAAACAUUAUGUCAUUCUCGACUUUUCCCAAGUCGUGUGUUCUUCAAUAAAGAUUGGUUUUGAUAACA